AGAGUGAACGCUGGCGGUAGGCCUAACACAUGCAAGUCGAACGGCAGCACGGUAAGAGCUUGCUCUUAUGGGUGGCGAGUGGCGGACGGGUGAGGAAUACAUCGGAAUCUACCUUUUGGUGGGGGAUAACGUAGGGAAACUUACGCUAAUACCGCAUACGCCCUUCGGGGGAAAGCCGGGGACCAGCAAUGGCCUGGUGCUGAUAGAUGAGCCGAUGUCGGAUUAGCUAGUUGGUGAGGUAAUGGCUCACCAAGGCGACGAUCCGUAGCUGGUCUGAGAGGAUGAUCAGCCACACUGGAACUGAGACACGGUCCAGACCU
rnacentral:rRNA from 1 species